rnacentral:rRNA from 1 species
UAGGCGUAAAUGAUGCGAGUUAAGUGUGGGGGCAUCUACGAGAUGGCCCUGUGCUGUAGGGUAGCCGUUAAACUCGCUGCCUGGGGAGUACGGUCGCAAGGCUGAAACUUAAAGGAAUUGGCGGGGGAGCACAACAACGGGUGGAGCUUGCGGUUUAAUUGGAUUCAACGCCGGAAAUCUUAUCGGGACCGACAGCAACAUGAAGGUCAAGCUGAAGACUUUGCCGGAUUAGCUGAGAGGAGGUGCAUGGCGUAGUCGUGU